GAUGAACGCUGGCGGCGUGCCUAAUACAUGCAAGUCGAGCGAACAGACGAGGAGCUUGCUCCUCUGACGUUAGCGGCGGACGGGUGAGUAACACGUGGAUAACCUACCUAUAAGACUGGGAUAACUUCGGGAAACCGGCGCUAAUACCGGAUAAUCUAUUGAACCGCAUGGUUCAAUAGUGAAAGACGGUUUUGGUGUAACUUAUAGAUGGAUCCGCGCCGCAUUGGCUAGUUGGUACGGUAACGGGUUACCAGGGGGACGAUGCGUAGCCGACGUGUGAGAGUGAUAGGCCACACUGGAACGGGAACACGGUCCAGACUCCUACGGGAGGCAGCAGUAGGGAAUCUUCCGCAAUGGGCGAAAACCUGACGGAACAACGCCGCGUGUGUGAUGAAGGUCUUCGGAUCGUAAAGCUCUGUUAUUGGGGAAGAACAAAUGUGUAAGUAACUAUGCACGUCUUGACGGUACCUAAUCAGAAAGCCACGGCUAACUACGUG
rnacentral:rRNA from 1 species